AGAGUUUGAUCCUGGNUCAGAACGAACGCUGGCGGCGUGCCUAACACAUGCAAGUCGAACGAGAAAAUUUCCUUCGGGGAAUGAGUAAAGUGGCGCAAGGGUGAGUAACACGUGAAUAAUCUGCCUUCGAACCUGGGAUAACUUGACGAAAGUUAAGCUAAUACCGGAUAAGACCACGCUUCACAAGAAGUGCGGCCAAAGGGGUCUCAAACCCUGUUUGAAGAUGAGUUCGCGUACCAUUAGCUUGUUGGUGAGAUAACAGCCCACCAAGGCAACGAUGGUUAGCCGGCCUGAGAGGGUGAUCGGCCACACUGGAACUGAGACACGGUCCAGACUCCUACGGGAGGCAGCAGUGGGGAAUUUUGCGCAAUGGGCGAAAGCCUGACGCAGCAACGCCGCGUGAGCGAUGAAGGCCUUCGGGUCGUAAAGCUCUGUCAAGUGGGAAGAACACAAUGACGGUACCACUAGAGGAAGCCCCGGCUAACUUCGUGCCAGCAGCCGCGGUAAUACGAAGGGGGCAAGCGUUGUUCGGAAUUAUUGGGCGUAAAGCGUGUGUAGGUGGUUGUUCAAGUCAGACGUGUAAGCCCUCGGCUCAACCGAGGAAUUGCGUUUGAAACUGAUCAACUUGAGUACAGGAGAGGAAAGCGGAAUUCCCAGUGUAGCGGUGAAAUGCGUUGAUAUUGGGAAGAACACCGGUGGCGAAGGCGGCUUUCUGGUCUGUUACUGACACUGAGAUACGAAAGCCAGGGGAGCAAAGGGGAUUAGAUACCCCCGUAGUCCUGGCUGUAAACGAUGGGCACUAGGUGC
rnacentral:rRNA from 1 species